rnacentral:rRNA from 1 species
GGUUAAGCGACUAAGCGUACACGGUGGAUGCCCUGGCAGUCAGAGGCGAUGAAGGACGUGCUAAUCUGCGAUAAGCGUCGGUGAGGUGAUAUGAACCGUUAUAACCGGCGAUUUCCGAAUGGGGAAACCCAGUGUGUUUCGACACACUAUCAUUAACUGAAUCCAUAGGUUAAUGAGGCGAACCGGGGGAACUGAAACAUCUAAGUACCCCGAGGAAAAGAAAUCAACCGAGAUUCCCCCAGUAGCGGCGAGCGAACGGGGAGGCGCCCAGAGCCUGAAUCAGUGUGUGUGUUAGUGGAAGCGUCUGGAAAGGCGCGCGAUACAGGGUGACAGCCCCGUACACAAAAAUGCACAUAUUGUGAGCUCGAUGAGUAGGGCGGGACACGUGGUAUCCUGUCUGAAUAUGGGGGGACCAUCCUCCAAGGCUAAAUACUCCUGACUGACCGAUAGUGAACCAGUACCGUGAGGGAAAGGCGAAAAGAACCCCGGCGAGGGGAGUGAAAAAGAACCUGAAACCGUGUACGUACAAGCAGUGGGAGCCUCUUAAUGGGGUGACUGCGUACCUUUUGUAUAAUGGGUCAGCGACUUAUAUUCUGUAGCAAGGUUAACCGAAUAGGGGAGCCGAAGGGAAACCGAGUCUUAACUGGGCGUUAAGUUGCAGGGUAUAGACCCGAAACCCGGUGAUCUAGCCAUGGGCAGGUUGAAGGUUGGGUAACACUAACUGGAGGACCGAACCGACUAAUGUUGAAAAAUUAGCGGAUGACUUGUGGCUGGGGGUGAAAGGCCAAUCAAACCGGGAGAUAGCUGGUUCUCCCCGAAAGCUAUUUAGGUAGCGCCUCGUGAAUUCAUCUCCGGGGGUAGAGCACUGUUUCGGCAAGGGGGUCAUCCCGACUUACCAACCCGAUGCAAACUGCGAAUACCGGAGAAUGUUAUCACGGGAGACACACGGCGGGUGCUAACGUCCGUCGUGAAGAGGGAAACAACCCAGACCGCCAGCUAAGGUCCCAAAGUCAUGGUUAAGUGGGAAACGAUGUGGGAAGGCCCAGACAGCCAGGAUGUUGGCUUAGAAGCAGCCAUCAUUUAAAGAAAGCGUAAUAGCUCACUGGUCGAGUCGGCCUGCGCGGAAGAUGUAACGGGGCUAAACCAUGCACCGAAGCUGCGGCAGCGACGCUUAUGCGUUGUUGGGUAGGGGAGCGUUCUGUAAGCCUGUGAAGGUGUGCUGUGAGGCAUGCUGGAGGUAUCAGAAGUGCGAAUGCUGACAUAAGUAACGAUAAAGCGGGUGAAAAGCCCGCUCGCCGGAAGACCAAGGGUUCCUGUCCAACGUUAAUCGGGGCAGGGUGAGUCGACCCCUAAGGCGAGGCCGAAAGGCGUAGUCGAUGGGAAACAGGUUAAUAUUCCUGUACUUGGUGUUACUGCGAAGGGGGGACGGAGAAGGCUAUGUUGGCCGGGCGACGGUUGUCCCGGUUUAAGCGUGUAGGCUGGUUUUCCAGGCAAAUCCGGAAAACCAAGGCUGAGGCGUGAUGACGAGGCACUACGGUGCUGAAGCAACAAAUGCCCUGCUUCCAGGAAAAGCCUCUAAGCAUCAGGUAACAUCAAAUCGUACCCCAAACCGACACAGGUGGUCAGGUAGAGAAUACCAAGGCGCUUGAGAGAACUCGGGUGAAGGAACUAGGCAAAAUGGUGCCGUAACUUCGGGAGAAGGCACGCUGAUAUGUAGGUGAAGCGACUUGCUCGUGGAGCUGAAAUCAGUCGAAGAUACCAGCUGGCUGCAACUGUUUAUUAAAAACACAGCACUGUGCAAACACGAAAGUGGACGUAUACGGUGUGACGCCUGCCCGGUGCCGGAAGGUUAAUUGAUGGGGUUAGCGGUAACGCGAAGCUCUUGAUCGAAGCCCCGGUAAACGGCGGCCGUAACUAUAACGGUCCUAAGGUAGCGAAAUUCCUUGUCGGGUAAGUUCCGACCUGCACGAAUGGCGUAAUGAUGGCCAGGCUGUCUCCACCCGAGACUCAGUGAAAUUGAACUCGCUGUGAAGAUGCAGUGUACCCGCGGCAAGACGGAAAGACCCCGUGAACCUUUACUAUAGCUUGACACUGAACAUUGAGCCUUGAUGUGUAGGAUAGGUGGGAGGCUUUGAAGUGUGGACGCCAGUCUGCAUGGAGCCGACCUUGAAAUACCACCCUUUAAUGUUUGAUGUUCUAACGUUGGCCCGUAAUCCGGGUUGCGGACAGUGUCUGGUGGGUAGUUUGACUGGGGCGGUCUCCUCCUAAAGAGUAACGGAGGAGCACGAAGGUUGGCUAAUCCUGGUCGGACAUCAGGAGGUUAGUGCAAUGGCAUAAGCCAGCUUGACUGCGAGCGUGACGGCGCGAGCAGGUGCGAAAGCAGGUCAUAGUGAUCCGGUGGUUCUGAAUGGAAGGGCCAUCGCUCAACGGAUAAAAGGUACUCCGGGGAUAACAGGCUGAUACCGCCCAAGAGUUCAUAUCGACGGCGGUGUUUGGCACCUCGAUGUCGGCUCAUCACAUCCUGGGGCUGAAGUAGGUCCCAAGGGUAUGGCUGUUCGCCAUUUAAAGUGGUACGCGAGCUGGGUUUAGAACGUCGUGAGACAGUUCGGUCCCUAUCUGCCGUGGGCGCUGGAGAACUGAGGGGGGCUGCUCCUAGUACGAGAGGACCGGAGUGGACGCAUCACUGGUGUUCGGGUUGUCAUGCCAAUGGCACUGCCCGGUAGCUAAAUGCGGAAGAGAUAAGUGCUGAAAGCAUCUAAGCACGAAACUUGCCCCGAGAUGAGUUCUCCCUGAGACUUAGAGUCUCCUGAAGGAACGUUGAAGACGACGACGUUGAUAGGCCGGGUGUGUAAGCGCAGCGAUGCGUUGAGCUAACCGGUACUAAUGAACCGUGAGGCUUAACCUU